rnacentral:rRNA from 1 species
CCUACGGGUGGCAGCAGUGAGGAAUAUUGGUCAAUGGUCGAGAGACUGAACCAGCCAAGCCGCGUGAGGGAUGAAGGUACUAUGUAUCGUAAACCUCUUUUAUAUGGGAACAAAACCUGGUAUGCAUACCCUCUUGUGUGUACCAUAAGAAAAAGCAUCGGCUAACUCCGUGCCAGCAGCCGCGGUAAUACGGAGGAUCCGAGCGUUAUCCGGAUUUAUUGGGUUUAAAGGGUGCGUAGGUGGAUUGUUAAGUCAGCCGUGAAAGGUUGGGGCUCAACCCCCGAACUGCAGUUGAUACUGGCAGUCUUGAGUUGGAGUGAAGUAGGCGGAAUGCGUGGUGUAGCGGUGAAAUGCAUAGAUAUCGCGCAGAACUCCGAUUGCGAAGGCAGCAUGCUG